rnacentral:rRNA from 1 species
GACGAACGCUGGCGGCGUGCUUAACACAUGCAAGUCGAACGGAAAGGCCCUGCUUUUGUGGGGUGCUCGAGUGGCGAACGGGUGAGUAACACGUGAGUAACCUGCCCUUGACUUUGGGAUAACUUCAGGAAACUGGGGCUAAUACCGGAUAGGAGCUCCUGCUGCAUGGGGGGGGUUGGAAAGUUUCGGCGGUUGGGGAUGGACUCGCGGCUUAUCAGCUUGUUGGUGGGGUAGUGGCUUACCAAGGCUUUGACGGGUAGCCGGCCUGAGAGGGUGACCGGCCACAUUGGGACUGCGAUACGGCCCAGACUCCUACGGGAGGCAGCAGUGGGGAAUAUUGCACAAUGGGCGGAAGCCUGAUGCAGCGACGCCGCGUGCGGGAUGACGGCCUUCGGGUUGUAAACCGCUUUCGCCUGUGACGAAGCGUGAGUGACGGUAAUGGGUAAAGAAGCACCGGCUAACUACGUG